CAGUCGAGGAACCAUUUUUUGUACUGAGC
rnacentral:sRNA from 1 species